rnacentral:tRNA from 1 species
CAGAGAAUCAGUUUAGUUCCGAAUUGGUGCCAGGGGGCAGCCAGGGGUGAAGAGUUAAAAUCUCUCUUUUCUGG